rnacentral:lncRNA from 1 species
AGGGCCACACCCGUGGCAUAUGGAGGUUCCCAGGCCAGGGGUCCAAUAGGAGCUGAAGCCAGUGACCUAUGUCAGAGCCACAGCAAGGCAGGAUCUGAGCUGCAUCUGCAACCUACACCACAGCUCAUGGCAAUGCCAGAUCCUUAACCCACUGAGCAAGGCUAGGGGUGGAAGCUGCAUCCUUAUGGAUGCAAGUUGGGUUCACUAACCACUAAGCCACGGUAUUCUUACGAGGAGAAAAAUAAAUGUCCCAUGUAAAGAAAUUUUUGCAAAGCUCCAAGUGCAUAAUGAGCACUCAGUAAAUGUUAGCUAUCAGCAGAAGCAGCACCUUCUACAGUUUUGCUGAUCUUUAAUCCAACUUGUUUGAUCACUUUUUCCUAUUAUAAGUGCUCUUCCAAGCCUCCUUCCUCCUCAGCUAUGGUUCCCCUGGAUUUCUAGUAAAGACGGCGAAAUCCUACAGGCUUAUCUGCUCUUCCUCUUUUUGACAUCUCACUAAAAUAAAAACACACAAAGCCACAGAGGCAUAGAUAAUGAGGGAGGAGACCAUCAAAGGAGGAAUUUCUAGAAAUGUUUAGUGGACAGAGAAGUAGAAAAUGCCUUAGCACAAUGGAGGAAAUGACUAGAGAGAGCAAUUCCACGAGAAAGUGAACUAAUAUGUUCUGCCCAGCCCCGAGAGACGGAGCGCUUAGCGGAAGGAAGCAUACUCUAAGGAAGGCAGGUGGGAGUUUAGGGAGAGGCUGAAAGUACAUUAAAAUUAUAUGGAACUAUAUCCAAUCUCUUGGGAUAGAGCACGAUAGAAGAUAGUAUAAGAAAAAGAAUAUGUGUAUAAAUACACACACACACACAUAUAUCUGUAUAUGAAUUGGUCACUAUGUUAUACAGCAGAAAUUGACACAACAAUGUAAAUCAAUUAAACUUUAAUUUAAAAAAAAAUAUGUGGAGACUUUGGGUCCCAACUACUUCUCUCUCCUGCUGGAGACGGAAUCUUUUCUGGAGAACACAGACCAGAAAGACAUCAAACUGAAGACAUCAGGCACUGUGACCAAAAAAGUGUGACCCAAGUCGAAAAAUAGAUGUUUGACUGAGGAGUUCCUAGUCAGACAACCAACCUGCUUAUAUGCCAUGUUUCCUGAACCCUAGCAGUCAGUUAUAUGUCCACAGGUGCAUAUCUCCCAGGAAUGAACUGGAGAAUCUCCUCAUAGUGAUACUGGAGAACUUCCCAAAGAACAAGCCACCUGAAAAACCCAUCAUGCUGUAUUGAGACUCCACAGCUGACAAGCCCCAUCCAUGUUCACAGAACUUUGAUAGUGUAUUUAGUCUUGUCAUCAUUAUUGUUUUGCUGUCUUUGAUAGUGUAUUUGUCCUUAUCAUCACAGUUCUGUUGUCUGUGUGUGUGCGAGUGUGUGUGUAUGUGUAAGUGAGUGAGAGAGCAACCUUUAAAUACAAAUGUACAGCCUCUCUAGGGAAUUAUCCAGGAUGAAGGAGAGGACAGAAUGAGCAAACCACAUCAACUGAGUAAAAAAAUCCACAGGAAACAGAGAGAAAGAGGAAAACCUCUAAAGAACUAUCAUUUGUGUAGAAGGAUAAUGUAUUGCUGACAUAAGAAUGGGUGCUAUUAAAAAGGCAAGAGCAGAGGACAGGAGAGUGUUGAAAUUGAAAACAAACAGCCAAAAUGGAAAACAAAUUUUGGCCGUUCCCUGGGCAUGCAGACCCUCUCGGAUCAGCGAUCAAACCUGCGCCACAGUGAUGACAACCCUGGAUCCUUAACUACUAGGCCACUAGGGAACUCCCAAAAUGAAACUUUUAAAAGAAAGUUUGGAAGAUAAAUUUGAAGAAAUUUCUAGAAGGUAUAACAAAACACCAAAGAGAUGAAAAAGAGGAAGAAAAGAGAGGAAAUUAAAGGGUUUGAUCUAGAAGGUCCAACUUCAACUAACAAGAAUCCCAGGAACAGAGAAAGUGAAGAAGAUAAAAUAAUCAGUGAACUAAUAAAAAAAAAACAAAAAAACAGAAUUAAAGAACCCAUAUAUCUGGAGUGAAAAGACAAGACCAAGACAAUUGAUCAUGAAAUACAGAGACAUCAAGGAGGACGAGACAGUCAUACAUUUCUAUACAGAGACAAAUAGGUUUUGAUAGACAUUGGGAUGUCACCAAUGUUAGAGAACAAUGGAAAGAAGCCUGCAAAGUGUUGUGAAAAUACAUUUGUAACCUAGAAUUCAAUUACACCAUGCCUGAGACACCAGAGAAUUCAAAGGAAGGACUGGUGGAGCCAGUAUAGUGCACAGAAAAGAUUCCCAAAGAGGAAAGCACAGAAGCUGUGCUUUAUCCUCCACAAUGAAACUAAAUGUAGAAACACGGGAAAGAGUAGGGGGUACUCUUAGCACUGCUCUGAGAUUCUGGAGGCCUGAGACAACAAUUUCUUUUUGCUAACACUAUUUUGGGUCAGGAUAACAAGAGGCUGACCAAAGCGAUGAAGUCAACCAGAUCUUGUGUUUUUGGAAAAAGGCACUAGUGUUUUCACACAGCUGAUACCUCUGAAGAGAUGGGUCAGUGAGCAACAUGCAGGAAACAAUAAAGGCCCAACACUCAUUUUGAAGUCAGUUUUGCUUAGACUUGGUAUACUGCCAGCAUCAAAUUUUGCAAGUCAUUAAAAAAAAAUUAUGAAGAAUGACCUUUACAAUUAACAAAUGACCCAGCAUUCAACUCUCCUGCAUGAUAAAGUGGAGAAGUGAUUUCUUUAUGCUGAUGAAAUUACAAUGGAAACUUUUAUUUAUAAUCCUAUAAUGCGGUGUUUUCAGAUGCUAAUUCUUACCUAAAAGGAAUGGAACAAAAAAAAAAAAAUUAAGACAGAAAACAAAUCUUGCUUGGUAUUUUAGUAUUCUUUUACAAAUAAUCCAGUUUAUCAGGAGUACCCAUCUUGGUGCAGCGGAAACGAAUCCGACUAGGAACCAUGGGGUUGUGGGUUUGAUCCCUGGCCUCGCUCAGUGGGUUAAGGAUCUGGCGUUGCCUGAGGCCAGGGAUCGAACCUGCAUCCUCAUGGAUGCUAGUCAGAUUUUUUAACCGCUGAGCCAGUCAGGCACUCCCAGUUUUCCUUUCCUUUGAAAACAGUAUCCGGAUUCCCUUUGGGGGAGCUUCCUCACUGUUCGAUGGGGCCGCUGUGACUGGCUCACGGUAGGGUCUACAACCUUAUUGUAUGGGAGCUGCUAGAGAGAAAAGCUCUCUUUUUCUGUUGGAUGAAAAACCUGGAAAGAUAUAGCUCUAGGAUUCUGACACUUGUGCUGUCCCAGGUGUAUGGAAACUGGGAAUGAAGCCACAAAUGGAGAGAGUUCUGAUAAUAGGACACAGAGAAUAACUAAGCCUCCUCAAGCGGUGAAAUCCAUAUGGAAUCCAUACUUGGCCUAAAACUUCAUGGAACCCUCAUUAAGUGGGGAAAGGAAGCCAUUAACAUACUGCAUGUAGAAGAAAUGCAUCCAGGACAUUUUACUGAGUGUGAAAAAAACCAGUGUGUAACAACUGCUUAUGGGUGUAUAAUACCCUUAACUCCACAAAGUCAAAUGCUGCUUUUUGAAUUGACUGAAGAGUGUAUUCUCAAGGGAGUGGUAGAAACCUGGUUGGCUGUCAGCAAGGCGAAAUGUCUCAGUAAAUGUAAUGUAAAAGUGCAAAACAGAUUUAAAAACACAAAUUUUCUUUCUU